rnacentral:lncRNA from 1 species
GUUCUUAGAGGUCAAACAGAGAAACCCAACUUUUUUUCCAUACUCAUAACACAGUUCCUUGCAAAAACUGAAACUUUGUUGGAUUCUUGACUUAUUUUUCGACGCGAAGAAAAGUAAAACAGCAACUAAAAUAAGCCCUAAAAGCAGAUUUUCCGAGGUGGCUAUGUCGUCCGUGUUGAAGAAGGCGAAAAGGGUGCAUACAUAGAGGAACAAUAUGGCAAGUAUCGGAGUUAGACACACUGAACCGGACUGAACCAGCGGUGAAACGGGCUUGCAGUGAGAUUUCCAUUCUUCAAGGUUAUAUAUUUCUUCAUCAGGUGCGAUCUCGUUCAUAGAAGAUAAGCUGCGGAUGGUUAUGAUCUGACGGUGGUGGAUAACCGAAGAAGUGAUGAGUGGUUCCUAGUAAGCUUUUGACCGUCCAUUCUUGACAGUGAGAUCCGCUGAUAAAAUCCUAGCUGUUGAUCUUUUUAGCUAGACGAUUAACUCUCCUGUACCUCGAUUUUCUUAUCAUAUACUCCGACGCCGGUUUCAUCUCCGGCGAUAAUGCGUCGGAUAAGUGAGCAAGAUAAGCAAAAACAAUUUUUUGGAACAAGAACAUGUUGUUUCUAGAGUUUGAAUUCACUCCUUCGAAAACAAUCCGACAGAAUUACCUGAAUGCAAGAAUUGAUCAACAGGAUCCAAAAUUGUAAUUCGAGCCCACCGACUUCACGAUGUGUCCUUAAAACAAAUUUGCUACCUUCAAUGGUGCUAAAGGCGUCCAGCAAUCGUUUCCCAGGAUAGAACGAAUUUUUCGUCUCCUACGGAAGCAGCACUGCAGUCUGUAGGAGUUCCAACGAACUCAACGAAGUGUUUUUUACUUCGAGACAAUAUCGAGAGAGAGGGAAAUGAGAUUCAAAGCACAGAAAGUUUGCAAUGAAAAUGGUGUAAAUUUUCUGGUAGAAAGGCUGGCUAUUUAUAGACUUGUUCGUGGCCAUUCGAACAGUCAUCACCUUUCAGACAAGCCUCAAAAAUCCGAACAGACAUACUGUUCUUAAAAGUCGUGUCUGUUAAGUCGG